ensembl:lncRNA
UUUAUUAGUCAUUUUUUAGCCAAAUGCACAGGUCCAAAUUCAUUUGUUAAUAAAAAAAAAACGAUAUUUCCCGUUUUUCUUCAAGAAUUUAAGCAUUAGCCUAAUGCUUAGGCUACAUAAACACUAUCGAGGAGUGUAAUAAGAAGGCCUUUAAGACGCAUCCAGUGCAGCUGAAGAGGAGCUGUCCAGGAGCGGUGGUGGUGUCUCUCUAGACAUAUGGAUGGGGUUAACGGCUUCCCAUCUGGCCUGAGCUGGGCCAACGGGUUCGCGGACCAGACGGUGGAUUGUGUGCCCAGCAAACGCAAGAGGAGCUGCGUGCAGGGGGAUGGAGCGCAUGGCAGUAGUACACAUGGAGAUGGUGCACAGCAAGACCACAAAGCCUAUCCCGUUCAUCCGGCUCCAAACAAACACAGGAGUUCCUUCAUACCCAUCGAUGGCGAUAAAGGGGUGUACUACUCAGAGCGCUGGGAGCCCAAUGGGAGCACGCUUUACUUCCCGGUCACAGGGCGACGUCUGGUGAACAUGGACAAAUAUGACCAGAUCACCUUCGAGCAGGGAUGCUUCUUCAUCGGGGACGAGUCGGGCGGUUUCCGACAGAAGACAGAAGGUCAGACUAUACACUGUUGGCGAUACAAUGAACAAGAAAAGAAACUUUUCAUUGCACUUUCUUACUUCUUUUCCAGCUUUCAUGUGUUCCAAGAGGUUGUCGGAUCUCUAGGGGGGUUGUGAGGAGGCAGAGCAGCACUCGGUGACCCGAAACAGACUGCUGUGUCGACAUGGUUCACUAGUCCUGUCCACUGCUGGAAAAGGGCAGACCAAAUGAAUCCUCAACAUAUCACUGUGCCUGAAUUUGUACAGUUGGCUUGUUUUGUGGCAUUUUAUCAGCUGCCCAAAUACUUUUAAUCAUUGAAGAUCAUAGAGAAUAUUGGUGGUCUUCGUAGCUCGGGUUGUUCACCGAGCUUGGCAUUUAGGUUGCAAACGUUUCAUCACCAGUCGAGGUGACAUCAUCAGCAAGUUGUGACUUGUACACUGAUGAUGUCACCUCGACUGGUGAUGAAACGUUCGCAACCUAAAUGUGAAGCUCGGCAAACAACCGAACACCUCAACUUUUAAUCAUUUUGUAUAUGUGAAUUGUCUAUAUAGUUUUUUUUUCCAAUCUGUAUUUUGUUUUUAGAACACCAUCCCUCUGCAGGGGUUACAAAAGAAUGGAAAGGAUCAACCACAUGUGUGCAAGAAACAUUCUAUGGUCUUUACAAAACUCGAAGAUCAAUCACCCAGAUAUUACUACUGGGUUCAUAUUCUUAAAGUGGAACCUGAAGAAAAUGCACUUCACUUGACAUUCCUACUUUACAGUGUUCAAUAGUAGGUAUAUUCUUUUUCCCAAAAGUGGGAGGUUGGCUGUUACUAUUUUCUGUUUGUAGGUGUCCUGACAUACAGUUAAAUGAGGACACACAGCUUAUAAUAAUCUCUAACUGUAAGCGUGUCACAUGAAGACACAUUUUUGGUCACCGGGGUGAUGAGGGAAUUCUUUAUGUUGUAUGGUAUGAGGAAAUGUUGGAUUGUAGCUCUGUAGAACAAUGGAGGAAAAAUGUUUUUUGAAGAAGAGCUUUGAAAACGGCACCUUAACUAUUUGAGAGAACUGUAAGCAGACGACCAAUGGUACUGCUCUUUUACCGAGGAAUUUAGUGUUAUAUUUACUGCUUUUUUCAAAUACAAUUAGGUAUUCGAAUUUUUGUCAGUUUUGAUAAAGCUUUGGUUUUUGUACAGUUUUUUUGAACAAUAAAGACUUUAAGCUCUAUUAAUGCA